rnacentral:rRNA from 1 species
UACGGAGGGGGAUAGCGUUGUUCGGAAUUACUGGGCGUAAAGCGCACGUAGGCGGCUUUGUAAGUUAGAGGUGAAAGCCCAGGGCUCAACCCUGGAAUUGCCUUUAAGACUGCAUCGCUUGAACAUCGGAGAGGUAAGUGGAAUUCCGAGUGUAGAGGUGAAAUUCGUAGAUAUUCGGAAGAACACCAGUGGCGAAGGCGGCUCACUGGACCGGUAUUGACGCUGAGGUGCGAAAGCGUGGGGAGCAAACAGG